UGCUUUGGCUGUGCCUCCCUCCUUCCAGCCGAAGAGUGGGUGCGGAUCAGGCGCAAGGUGAGGCUGUGCAAGGGCAGGGCAGCGAAGCGUUGGGCUGGUUGCCUGGGGAGCUCUGCAAUUUCCAUUUCUGGAGGACUGUGAGAACUUGCGGGGAAUGAACUCACCUGUGAGGAAUGGCAUAACCACGGGGCUUCCUGCCUGCUCAGUGACCUCUCCCGGGCUGCUUCAGCCCAGCCUCCUUCAGUGCUGUGAGCCAGCCUCGAGCUGACACUGCACUGCAAUAGCAGAAUAAAUACACGUCUGGUCACGGCUGUUCUUUGACUGACACAUUGAAAACGCCGCUGUUGUUGAGUUGACGUGUUCCUAAUUCCCUCCAACUCCACAGGAUCCGAGCAGCAAGCAUGUUCCCCAGUUCCCUCCUGACAAAUGUGGCAGUCCCCUGCCUCUGCAAUUAGUUUGGCCCACAGGUCCAUAUCUGUUGAAAAGUUAAGGGUUUCUUUCAGGUGUCACGUGCCUCCCUGUGCCUCAAGGGCUCCGUGCCUGUACCCAGUAUUAAGACACUGCUGAGUACGUGAAAAAUGGUGUUUAUUCUAAUUGCCAUGGAGAGCAUUUCACUCAUGCAUUUUUAAGCAAAAUAGCUGCAAUUUUGAAUUUCAUCCAUUCGUGCACCUCAGGUAUUUAAAUUUCAUUUGUCGCUUUGGAGUCUCAGUGUCUUAUGAAGUAAAGAAAAAGGUAAAAAUAGCCUCUGGUUUUGUCCGUUUCUUCCUCCAUAGAACAGACAGGGAUUUUUUCCUUGAGGGUCCGCUCAAGGAAAUCGCUGCAUUUUCAUCCUUACAAAAGGCUUUGGAGCAGGUCCACCCGUACAGAUAGUCCUCUUUUUUUCUCAUCUCCUUUAAUUGAAUGUAUGACAUAUUUAAUUCUGGCAGUGUUCUUUAUCUCUGUGAGAAGUCCUUUUAAUUCACUGUGUAAGAAAGUGUUCUGUGAUGUGGCUACCUGAUUUUAUUGAAACUCUCAUGUCGGGAAAAAAAAAAUCACUGCCUUCCCUGUCAAAACUGACAGUAAUUACGAGUCCAAAUAUAUAGCUGUGAUUGACUUGUAAAACCAAAUCUGUAAUAUUUCAAGUUUGCACGUUGGCUUGUGCAGCUUUCAGGAAAUACAACCCAGCGUUUUCCUUGCAAACUGACG
ensembl:lncRNA